rnacentral:rRNA from 1 species
GUGUCAGCAGCCGCGGUAAGACAGAGGGUGCAAACGUUGUUCGGAAUUACUGGGCGUAAAGCGCGUGUAGGCGGCAGCGCAAGUCGGAUGUGAAAUCCCAUGGCUCAACCAUGGAAGUGCACCCGAAACUGCGUCGCUAGAGUCCUGGAGAGGAAGGUGGAAUGCUUGGUGUAGAGGUGAAAUUCGUAGAUAUCAAGCGGAACACCGGUGGCGAAGGCGGCCUUCUGGACAGUGACUGACGCUGAGACGCGAAAGCGUGGGGAGCAAACAGGAUUAGAUACCCUCGUAGUCC